rnacentral:rRNA from 1 species
CCUACGGGAGGCAGCAGUAGGGAAUAUUGCUCAAUGGGGGAAACCCUGAAGCAGCAACGCCGCGUGGAGGAUGAAGGUUUUAGGAGUGGAAAACCCUUUUGGUAGAGAAGAAAAGGACGGCACCUAACGAAGAAGCACCGGCUAACGAAGUGACAGCAGCCGCGGAAAUACGGAGGGCGGAAGCGUUAAUCGGAAUCACUGGGGGGAAAGAGCGAGUAGGCGGGAUCGCUAGUCAGCUGUGAAAUCCUAGGUCUUAACCCUAGAACUGCCUUUGAAACUGUUAUUCUAGAGUGUGGGAGAGGUAGGUGGAAUUCUUGGUGUAGCGGUGACAUCCGUAGAUAUCACGCGGAAUCCUCAUUGCGAAGGCUGCCUGCUAGAGCUUACCUGACGCUGAUGCGCGAAAGCGUGGGUAGCGAACAGGAUUAGCUACCCCUGUAGUC